UACGUAGGGGGCUAGCGUUGUCCGGAUUUAUUGGGCGUAAAGAGCGUGUAGGCGGCCAUGUAGGUCCGGUGUGAAAACUCGAGGCUUAACCUCGAGAUGUCAUCGGAAACCAUUUGGCUAGAGUCCGGAAGAGGAGAGUGGAAUUCCUGGUGUAGCGGUGAAAUGCGCAGAUAUCAGGAAGAACACCAAUGGCGAAGGCAGCUUGCUGGGACGGUACUGACGCUGAGGCGCGAAAGCGUGGGGAGCAAACAGG
rnacentral:rRNA from 1 species